rnacentral:rRNA from 1 species
GACGAACGCUGGCGGCGGGCUUAACACAUGCAAGUCGAACGGAAAGGCCCUGCUUUUGUGGGGUGCUCGAGUGGCGAACGGGUGAGUAACACGUGAGUAACCUGACCUUGACUUUGGGAUAACUUCAGGAAACUGGGGCUAAUCCCGGAUAGGAGAUCCUGCUGCGUGGUGGGGGGUGGAAAGUUUCGGCGGUUGGGGAUGGACUCGCGGCUGUUGAGCUUGUUGGUGGGGGAGUGGCUGACCCAGGCGUUGACGGGUAGCCGGCCUGAGAGGGGGACCGGCCACAUUGGGACUGAGAUACGGCCCAGACGCCUACGGGGGGCAGCAGUGGGGAAUAUUGCACAACGGGCGGAAGCCUGAUGCAGCAACGCCGCGUGCGUGAUGACGGCCUUCGGGUUGUAAACAGCUUUCGCCUGUGACGAAGCGGGAGUGACGGUAAUGGGUAAAGAAGCACCGGCUAACUACGUG